UUACUUGAAAGAAUUCUUUCCUUUGCUUUGUGAUUAUUAGGGAGCAGGCUGUACCAACAAUAAAGUUGUUUCAAGAAACAUUUUAUCCAGUGGUGAGACUAUACAUGACAGCAUCAAGCACAUUCAAGUCCCUUCAAAGGAGAUUAGCUCAGAUUUAGUGCAGUAAACUAGGAAGGCAGGGUCAGAUUUAAAACUUUAACCCCCUCUCUUUCCUAUACACCUGAUUACCCAUCACUCUGCUUCCCAACCCCUUUUCUUUACUAACUCAGUUGCAGGUAGAGCAUCACACCAGCACCAAGGAGCACGUUGGAGUUCACUAUAGAGUCGCUGUGCAUUUUAAGCCGUGCUACGUGUUUGGGUAUAGCUAGCAGUUUGAAAUAUAUAUUUUUCUGUUGGUGAGCCGUUGUCCACAACAUCCCAGUAAUAGUAGCGUUGCCAUGACCACUAAGUUCCAAAUUCCACCACUAGAUAUGCUUAUGGGAUCCUGUUGACUUUAUAGGGUGCCCGUGUGGAACCAGAUGGCACAAGUUGGUUCUAAUACCCUUUGCUAUAGAAGUAUCUGGCAGUGUGUUUGUUUAUAUUGAUCAGACCUUUCAUUUAAAGACUGCUUAUAAUUAGCACCUCUUGGAAAAUUCUACCUGAAUACACCUUAAUGGUAGAUAAGUGAUAUAGCUGUGUAAAAGAAGUGGUCACCGUUGAAUUGGGAAUCUAAGCCCUUCAUGGGUAUGUCUACACUGCACUUGGGCGCAAGCCUCCUAGCGUGGCUCAACAGACUCGUGCUAGUACGCUAAAAAGAGCUGUGUAGCCUCAGCAGCUCAGCUCUGCCCUGGGGUACACUUGAGAGCCUGACCUCCAACCCAAGUCGCAACAUCAAAGCAAAGCAAUGUCUUUUCAGCUAGUUUUAGUGCACUAGCAUGGCUGUAGACCUGGGCUGGGAUGCUCACUCCCAGGUGCAGUAGAGCUAGACCCUUACAGGUUGCACUGGGUUUCAACUACUGAGUGGGUGCUGAAUUCCUGGCUAGUUCCUUGGCUGCUUCUCUCAAUCCCACACACCUCCAUGAAGGGGAAGAGUCUUCCUCGUAGAGAAGCACUGGCCAAUAUUAGCAACAAUGCUCAGGUCUCAAGCUUUGGCACUGAUCUGGGCCUCUAUCGUUCUGCUUUGCUGGCCUAGUUUAUAAUCCUGCUUUAGGUUAAACACUGAAUUUAAGGAGCUGGUGGCUUCAGUCUGACUGCCCCCUUUUCACAUUAAACUCUUAAUUUAGCUGGGUGUUUACAGGAAAAACUUUCUUCCCACUAAAUCAAUCUGCACGUGUGUCACACCAGUCAAAAAUGGCAUGGGUUUUUCACAUCUUUGAGCUAGUGAUCACCUAAGAUGAUCAGCUCAUCAAAUGUUUGUUUGUUUUGUUUUUUUUUAAUACUGUAUGCAACUCCCCAGUACCAAAUUCCUUAGCAAAGCCAUACGGUAUGGGAAUUGGCAUUUAUCAAAAAGCAUUUCAGGUAUUUAAUCUGUUUGAUUUUCUUACAGUUACUGUGAGAUGUGACUGAGACUCUUCGAUCUGCACUGAGGCAAUGAAAAGAUACAAACACCCACUCUGGGUGCUCAAAUACGAUAAUUCUGCACAAGGUCCUAUUGCUACAUCAGACCAUACUGAUUACUUGCCAUUGUGGCAGAGAAUCUCUGCUAGUUUAAGAAGAAUAUUGGUUAAUGCACAGAAGAUGCCCUGUGCAGUCCCUCUUACAGGGCUGGGGGAGGAGGCGUGGAAGCACAGAUACCACAUUUAGGCCCUGAUCCUCAAAAGAAUUUAGGCACCUAACUCCCAUGGACAUCAGUAGCAGUUAGGUGCUGAAAUCCUAGGAGGAUCUUGCCUUAGAUACCAUGGUGAUAGGCAACCUUAAAACCAAAGAGUGGUUUCUUACAUGUCAGGACUGAAGUGAAUUGGCUGACCUAAAUAGGGAAAGGACACCUACCUGCAUUCUGCUUUUGGCUUUGCUGCUGUAGCCAAGUUGACUCCUUUCAUGUGCACUUCUUGUUU